AUAAUGAAGCGUCUUCAUUACCGACCUUCUUCCACAUGUAUUUAACAAUUAAGAAAGUGAAGUAAUUGUUGAGUUUUUCGUAAUUACCAUUUGUUCUAACAUAAGGCAAUUUAGCUGAUAAACCAUUUAACCAAGGUGUAGGAUUGGCCUGAUUCACAUUUUGGUUUAAUGCUUUAGCGCGCUCCAAAAACUUAUUGUUCAACGCGUUCAUUUGGUUAAACAAGAAGUUAAUCAUGGUUGUGGCCAAACCAAUUGGUGCAUAUUCUGCCAGUAAAUCCUUGUAAGGCUUUAAGGCUUCAGUUAAAGCUUUGUUUGCUUUAUCCUUUUGAUCAAAAUUUGCCUUUACCAAAGCGUUCGCUAAGAUUAGUUCGCGGUGUUUAUCAAAUCAACCUUUCAAGGUUUCAUUUAACGGAAACGAAAAGGCAUAUUUGGUGCCGCCUUGUUUGAAAACUCUAAUUUUUAGCUUGAAAGGCACGAAACUUCAAUAAAUUUUUUUG
rnacentral:sRNA from 1 species